GAUGAACGCUGGCGGCGUGCCUAAUACAUGCAAGUCGAGCGAACGGACGAGAAGCUUGCUUCUCUGAUGUUAGCGGCGGACGGGUGAGUAACACGUGGAUAACCUACCUAUAAGACUGGGAUAACUUCGGGAAACCGUAGCUAAUACCGGAUAAUAUUUUGAACCGCAUGGUUCAAAAGUGAAAGACAGUCUUGCUGUCACUUAUAGAUGGAUCCGCGCUGCAUUAGCUAGUUGGUAAGGUAACGGCUUACCAAGGCAACGAUGCAUAGCCGACCUGAGAGGGUGAUCGGCCACACUGGAACUGAGACACGGUCCAGACUCCUACGGGAGGCAGCAGUAGGGAAUCUUCCGCAAUGGGCGAAAGCCUGACGGAGCAACGCCGCGUGAGUGAUGAAGGUCUUCGGAUCGUAAAACUCUGUUAUUAGGGAAGAACAUAUGUGUAAGUAACUGUGCACAUCUUGACGGUACCUAAUCAGAAAGCCACGGCUAACUACGUGCCAGCAGCCGCGGUAAUACGUAGGUGACAAGCGUUAUCCGGAAUUAUUGGGCGUAAAGCGCGCGUAGGCGGUUUUUUAAGUCUGAUGUGAAAGCCCACGGCUCAACCGUGGAGGGUCAUUGGAAACUGGAAAACUUGAGUGCAGAAGAGGAAAGUGGAAUUCCAUGUGUAGCGGUGAAAUGCGCAGAGAUAUGGAGGAACACCAGUGGCGAAGGCGACUUUCUGGUCUGUAACUGACGCUGAUGUGCGAAAGCGUGGGGAUCAAACAGGAUUAGAUACCCUGGUAGUCCACGCCGUAAACGAUGAGUGCUAAGUGUUAGGGGGUUUCCGCCCCUUAGUGCUGCAGCUAACGCAUUAAGCACUCCGCCUGGGGAGUACGACCGCAAGGUUGAAACUCAAAGGAAUUGACGGGGACCCGCACAAGCGGUGGAGCAUGUGGUUUAAUUCGAAGCAACGCGAAGAACCUUACCAAAUCUUGACAUCCUUUGACAACUCUAGAGAUAGAGCCUUCCCCUUCGGGGGACAAAGUGACAGGUGGUGCAUGGUUGUCGUCAGCUCGUGUCGUGAGAUGUUGGGUUAAGUCCCGCAACGAGCGCAACCCUUAAGCUUAGUUGCCAUCAUUAAGUUGGGCACUCUAAGUUGACUGCCGGUGACAAACCGGAGGAAGGUGGGGAUGACGUCAAAUCAUCAUGCCCCUUAUGAUUUGGGCUACACACGUGCUACAAUGGACAAUACAAAGGGCAGCGAAACCGCGAGGUCAAGCAAAUCCCAUAAAGUUGUUCUCAGUUCGGAUUGUAGUCUGCAACUCGAUUACAUGAAGCUGGAAUCGCUAGUAAUCGUAGAUCAGCAUGCUACGGUGAAUACGUUCCCGGGUCU
rnacentral:rRNA from 1 species